CAAGGACACACCCAAGAAACACCCACAUCAAAUCACACCCCCAAGACAACUCACGCUUGGCCUCUGUCAUGGCCGCCAGCAGUUCUUGAAGAGCAAGCCAAAAAAACGAGGCCAAAUCAGCUUGCAGUUCCCCUUUAAUUUAGUCUCAAGUCUAAUGCUAAGCACCACAAUUUCUGCACAAGUCAUCCAUCCAUCCUUCGCUUCAUCCUUCGCUCCAACCGUCGCUCCAUCCAUCCAUUUUCUACCACAACAUGAAUUCUUAUUAGAGAGGUUAGGCAUUUAUAAACUCUCCCCUGCCAACAUUUGGGACAAUUUGUGAAAGGUAGCCCCCGCUGCCAACACUCCAAGCCCUCAACAGCCAAACAAGAUAAGCAGACAGCCAUGUUUCCCUCGUAGCAAAGCUAAGCACUGAGGCGUGGACCAGACAGGUUUAAAUAUAGCCGCUGAUUAGAUAGAUCAUUUGUCUCUGUUUAGGCGUCUACGAUUAUGUCACUUAACCUGGCAUGUCACUUUGUGUCCCCUAAGACAGUUUGGACCACCAAGCUAUUGAACAUAAUUACUUUUUGUUUGCAAGCUCGUACAGUGUCCGUACAGACACAUAGUCAAUAAGUGGACAAGAUGGCUAAAGGAUGUUCUUUCAGUGGAUAAAAGAGACCAAUAUCCUAGUCAAAAGAUGCCUCCAGUACAAUGGCAUGCAAGCAGGACCUUUCAUGGACUCCCACAGGUUGCGGCCAACGGUGGAGGCCCUCAAGGACUGCACCUCGGCCGGGGAAACAAGUCGGGAUACAUGGAGGUGGAAAUCCUGAACCCCCAAAAUGAAUAUUGGAACUCCUACUCUCUGAGCUGAAGACUUGUCAUUGGGAGGCAGCUCAUUAGAGACUUCUCCUGUAAUGUGGGAGGCAGCUCAUUAGAGACUUCCCCUGUAAUGUGGGAGGAAGCUCAUUAGAGAAAUGCUAAGGCGUGGUGAGGAAAGCAGGAAGGAGAGACAUCUGCAGCAGAAGGGAAUGGAAGUCAGAGACAUUCGGAUAAUUAAUGUUUGUCUCCUCCCAGUGGCUGACUCCUGGGAACAUCGUGCUUUAUCAAGCGCAACGCCCCAAGAGUUUAUGCUGUAGCAAAGGUGUGGUGACACAGGUACUGUACAUAGAAAGAGAGGAGAGGGCCGGCACCACAUGACACUGUACCGCAUUGUAAUCUAACAAUUAGUCCAAUUGAGCGAUCUCAUCUGUUGUCCAACUGGACAGUUGUGCAUUAUGCAGAUGUCAUUUCGACUAAAUAAAUCUCAUUCGUAACGCUUAUUCUCAUGUGAUUUUCUGCUGUUAAAAGUUAAAGUGAAGCUUGAAGAAAGUGUUAAUGAAUGUCUACUGAUAAAUAUAUCAUUGGGUGUUUAAGAUGUGUGGAAUAAGAUCUCGCCAUGACAGAAUGGUAUAUUUGAUAAGCAUUGUUUAUUUAAAAAAAUGGACUAUAUGGUGGGAUGAUUUAGAAGUUGAGGAUUUGGCUGGAGUGUGAGUGAACCAGGAAGAGACAUUAAGGACAACCUGUUGAAUAUUUAAUAUUGUAUUAGUUCUACUUGGGGUAUCCUUCACAUUACCCUACAUUUUUUCACAGUUUCACUUAAUAGAUUUUACAUUUUUUAAACUAACCAGAUUAAACUCUUAGGGCACUUCUUAAUGAGAAUAAACCUAAAUGGUUGAGUAAAUGAUAUAAAAAGCUACAUUUAAUGUGAUUAUCUUGGUAGGGCCCCUGCUGUCAUUGGUUCCCAAACUCUUUUAAGCUUCAGGACUAGGAGCUAUUCUUAGAGGCGGACAUUUUAGUUUGUUUUAGUGACAAGCCUUAUCUAUUACCAUACUGUAUAGUGUACGAGGACUGUAACCUUUUACCAUUACUGUAACUCUCACAAGAGCUUUGAACACCCUGUUUGAAUGUGUUUCUGUGUGACAGUAACUAAUGUAGCACUAGGUAGCAGCACAGGUUGAUUGUGAAAUGGUUAAAAUAAAUAUUUUACCUAUGAUAGAUGUCUCUUUCAGACAAUAUGUUUCAGUAUAACUGCAUGUCGUUCUGCCCCUGAACAAGGCAGUUG
rnacentral:lncRNA from 1 species